GAUGAAGAACGUAGCGAAAUGCGAUAAGUAAUGCGAAUUGCAGAAUUCCAGUGAGUCAUCGAAUCUUUGAACGCACAUUGCGCCCUUUGGUAUUCCGAAGGGCAUGCCUGUUCGAGCGUCAUUAUCACCCCUCAAGCCCUCGGCUUGGUGUUGGACGGUUUGGUGGAGGCCCCCUCGGGGGCUCCUGCCCCUCCCAAAGACAAUGACGGCGGCCUCGUUGGACCCCCGGUACACUGAGUUCUUCACGGGACACGUAUCGGACACAUGGGUUUACGGGACACGGUCUGCCUCCCCACAGGGAGAAUCUUUCUAAGGUUGACCUCGGAUCAGGUAGGGAUACCCGCUGAACUUAAGCAUAUCAAUAAGCGGAGGA
rnacentral:misc_RNA from 1 species